CGUAGGUUGCGAGCGUUGUCCGGAUUUACUGGGCGUAAAGCGCGCGCAGGCGGUUCCGAAAGUCGAGCGUGAAAGCUCCUGGCCCAACUGGGAGAGGCCGUUUGAAACUUCGGGACUUGAAGGCGGGAGAGGCAGAUGGAAUUUCCGGUGUAGCGGUAAAAUGCGUAGAUACCGGAAGGAACACCAGUGGCGAAAGCGAUCUGCUGGCCCGCCCUUGACGCUCAGGCGCGAAAGCUAGGGGAGCGACCGGGAUUAGAUACCCCGUUAGUCCUAGCUGUAAACAAUGGGCACUAGGUGUUGUCGGUAUCGACCCCGGCAGUGCCGAAGCUAACGCAUUAAGUACCCCGCCUGGGGAGUACGACCGCAAGGUUA
rnacentral:rRNA from 1 species